rnacentral:rRNA from 1 species
CCUACGGGCGGCAGCAGUAGAGAAUCAUUCACAAUGGAGGAAACUCUGAUGGUGCGACGCCGCGUGGGGGAAUGAAGGUCUUCGGAUUGAAAACCCCGGUCAUGUGGGAGCACAUGGAAAAGAGAGAACGACAGGAGGAAGAGGGGGCUAACCCUGUGCGAGCAGCCGCGGUAAUACAGAGGUCUCAAGCGAUGUUCGGAAUCACUGGGCGUAAAGCGUGCGAAGGCGGUUUCGUAAGGCGUGUGUGAAAGGCGAGGGCUCAACCCGCGGGGGGCAUAGGAUACUGCGAGACUAGAGUAAAGGAGGGGAAACCGGAAUUCGCGGUGUAGCAGUGAAAUGCGUAGAUAUCGGGAGGAACACGCGUGGCGAAGGCGGGUUCCUGGACAUUAACUGACGCUGAGGCACGAAGGCCAGGGGAGCGAAAGGGAUUAGAUACCCGGGUAGUC